GGGGUUUGAUCCUGUGGGUUUACGAAUGUGAAGAGGGGAAGAGGGUGUCUCAAUGAUUCUGUAGUAGCUGUCAAGUUACAUUUUGUUUUAACAAGAUUUGAACCCAAGACAUUCAAUUGAAAGCCAAGCAUCUACUUAUCUACAAUUUCGCCGCAAAUUUGAAUUGUUUUCUUGCUCUAUUAUAGACGCACUGUGAUUGGUAUUGGCAUUGAAGAUGAGGAUAGGGAAGCCACUUGGAUGGAUGAUGCUGAAAGUUGUGCAGCAAUGAAUGCCUUUGAAUGUUCUCGUGCCAUUUAUGCAUAUGCACUCACCGUGUUCCCAAGUC